UGGGGGAUAUUGCACAAUGGGCGAAAGCCUGAUGCAGCGACGCCGCGUGGGGGAUGAAGGCUUUCGGGUUGUAAACCUCUUUCGCUAUCGAACAAGGCCCGCUUAGGGUGGGUUGAGGGUAGGUGGAGAAGAAGCGCCGGCUAACUACGUGCCAGCAGCCGCGGUAAUUCGUAGGGCGCGAGCGUUGUCCGGAAUUAUUGGGCGUAAAGGGCUUGUAGGCGGCUUGUUGCGCCUGCUGUGAAAACGCGGGGCUUAACUUCGCGCGUGCAGUGGGUACGGGCAGGCUUGAGUGUGGUAGGGGUGACUGGAAUUCCAGGUGUAGCGGUGGAAUGCGCAGAUAUCUGGAGGAACACCGAUGGCGAAGGCAGGUCACUGGGCCAUUACUGACGCUGAGGAGCGAAAGCAUGGGUAGCGAACAGG
rnacentral:rRNA from 1 species